rnacentral:rRNA from 1 species
GACGAACGCUGGCGGCGUGCCUAAUACAUGCAAGUCGAACGCAGUGGGGACGGGUGAGUAACACGUGGGUAACCUCCCAUCAGAGGGGAUAACACUUGGAAACAGGUGCUAAACCGAUACUGAUGGAUGAACCCGCGGUGCAUUAGCUAGUUGGUGAGGUAAAGGCGCACCACGGCCACGAUGAAUAGCCGGCCUUGGAGGGUGAUCGGCAACACUGGGGCUGUGACAAGGCCCAGAAUCCUACGGGAGGCAGCAGUGGGGAAUCUUCGGCAAUGGUGGAAAGUCUGACCGAGCGACGCCGCGUGAGUGAAGAAGGUUUUCGGAUCGUAAAACUCUGUUGUUAGAGAAUCGGUAUCUAACCAGAAAGCCACGGCUAACUACGUGCCAGCAGCCGCGGUAAUAC